GCGCGAGUGGCGGAACGGCAGACGCACCAGCUUGAGGGGCUGGCGGGGGAGACCCUGUGCGAGUUCAAAUCUCGCCUCGCGCACCA
rnacentral:tRNA from 1 species